AGUCGGACGGGAUUGGAGAGCUUGCUUUCCAUGAGAGUGGCGCACGGGUGCGUAACACGUAUGUAACCUACCUUAAUCUGGGGGAUAGCCUCUCGAAAGAGAGAUUAACACCGCAUAACAUGUUUUAACAGCAUUGUUGAAACAUCAAAUAUUUAUAGGAUUAAGAUGGGCAUGCGGAACAUUAGCUAGUUGGUAAGGUAAUGGCUUACCAAGGCUACGAUGUUUAGGGGAUCUGAGAGGAUGACCCCCCACACUGGUACUGAGACACGGACCAGACUCCUACGGGAGGCAGCAGUAAGGAAUAUUGGUCAAUGGGCGCAAGCCUGAACCAGCCAUGCCGCGUGCAGGAAGACGGCCCUACGGGUUGUAAACUGCUUUUGUACCGGAAUAAACCUUGAUACGUGUAUCGAGCUGAAUGUACGGUAAGAAUAAGGAUCGGCUAACUCCGUGCCAGCAGCCGCGGUAAUACGGAGGAUCCAAGCGUUAUCCGGAUUUAUUGGGUUUAAAGGGUGCGUAGGUGGCCUGUUAAGUCAGGGGUGAAAGACGGUAGCUUAACUAUCGCAGUGCCUUUGAUACUGACGGGCUUGAAUACACUAGAGGUAGGCGGAAUGUGACAAGUAGCGGUGAAAUGCAUAGAUAUGUCACAGAACACCAAUUGCGAAGGCAGCUUACUAUGGUGUCAUUGACACUGAGGCACGAAAGCGUGGGGAUCAAACAGGAUUAGAUACCCUGGUAGUCCACGCCCUAAACGAUGAAUACUCGAUGUUGGCGAUAUACGGUCAGCGUCUAAGCGAAAGCGUUAAGUAUUCCACCUGGGGAGUACGCCCGCA
rnacentral:rRNA from 1 species